GGGGGCCCAAGGGGUGCGCGGAGUGCUGGCGCCCGACCCGCGGACCCCGGGGCCUCCGGCAGCCUCACACCUCCCGGCGCCCCCCUCCGCUUUCCUCCCUGCCGGCGGGGAGCUCGCGCGGAGGCCCGACCCCGAGUCCGCUCUGGCAUCUUCGCUGGGAGACCCGGCGGUAAACGACUCGCCCCAAAGUCGGGAGCAGCAGGUCGGGCGCCUGCACCCAGGCGGGCCGCGUCGCCGGCCGGGUGGAGAGGGCCGGCAUCUGCCAGUACUUGGGGCCUGUGUUGGGGCGUCCGGCUCGGGCCUGGCUGUGAGCCCCCUCACCGGGGCUGUAGAUGAAGAGGUGUCCCUGGCCUGAGGCCACUCGCACCCCAACACGUGACUCAGCCCUUCCUCGCUGAUCCAGGCCUGACAGGUGUAUCAGCCUGCCCCAAGGAAGGGGCAGCUUCUGCCACAGCCAGUUGAGGCCAGUGUCCUGUGGAUCCCGAAAGGCCUGCGGAGCUCUGCGGCUUGUGAGACAGGACGGUGCCCAGGCCCCGCACCCACCGCCCUGCAGCCCGGCAGACCGCCCCCCCACACCCCCAGAGGUAGAGGAUGCAACCUGAGCCCUGGCAGGGAGCCUUUGGCCCUGUCCGCCUCGGGAGCCUGCAGUGGGUGCACUCGGGCCUAUCAGUCGUCCCCAAGGGGCUCCUCUGGGAGGGCACCAGGGAAAGGCCAGUUAAGACCCGGGGCAACCUCUCAGUGGGUGGGCUGAGAUUUGAAGAGCAGGGAGCAGGCAGCGGCCAGCGGGCACACUGACUUGUUGCCCUUGAGAGCACCUGCCCCGAGGACGGCUGCUACGGCUGACACAGCUGCCGGGUGCUGGCAGAUUCCAAAGCAGCAUGGAUGGAGCUGGAAGGGGUCAUGCUUCGUGAAAUAAGCCAGAAAGAAAAAAAUACCGAUGGUUUCACUCAGCAGGAGCGUAAAGGACCGGGGGAAAGAGAGAAAAGAAAAAGAGUUUAAAAGAACUGUUUAAAACACCUCUGA